UACGUAGGGGGCUAGCGUUGUCCGGAAUCAUUGGGCGUAAAGAGCGUGUAGGCGGUCCGGUAAGUCCGUUGUGAAAGUCAAGGGCUCAACCCUUGAAUGCCGGCGGAUACUGUCGGGCUAGAGUCCGGAAGAGGCAAGUGGAAUUCCCGGUGUAGCGGUGAAAUGCGCAGAUAUCGGGAGGAACACCUAUGGCGAAGGCAGCUUGCUGGGACGGUACUGACGCUAAGGCGCGAAAGCGUGGGGAGCGAACAGG
rnacentral:rRNA from 1 species